UUUUAUACGACACAUUUUUAUAUUGCACCUGCAAUACACAGGCUCACAUAGUUUCACAGAGAGCUGUAAACUAUACCAUAAAGGAAGGUUUUUMAGAGCAGAGGAAUUUGAGAAUAUCCUGCGGAAGACAUUGCAAGAGGAUGCACACAAGGAUUUCAGCAAAGAUAAUGUCCAAGCAGAGAUGUUCCACUGGCAAGAGUAUGCUAURUCAAACACUGUGGGCCGAGUAGUUGUGAGCAACCAGCACAACAGCUGGCAGUACAGCAGCAAGAAUGAAAAGGGGAAAGGCAGACAGUGAACAAGAUGGACAUCUCCUGCCACGAGUUAUUGACCAGCAACACAUGGUGGAACAAAUGUUAAGUUAGUGGAUUGAAUGUCAAGGGGGAGGGACAGCAGAACAUUCAGAUGUAGUGUUCCUGGAGUUGUGUAUGAAGCUCAUCAGCUUUCUAAUGUGUCAAAAUGAGAAAACUCAGCUGUGGUAAUGCUGGAGUAAG
rnacentral:lncRNA from 1 species